GGAAGCGUGGCCGAGCGGUUUAAGGCACUGGUCUUGAAAAACAGCGAUGGGCAACUAUCCGUGAGUUCGAAUCUCACCGCUUCCGCCA
rnacentral:tRNA from 1 species